rnacentral:rRNA from 1 species
AGUAUUCAAUUGUCAGAGGUGAAAUUCUUGGAUUUAUUGAAGACUAACUACUGCGAAAGCAUUUGCCAAGGAUGUUUUCAUUAAUCAGGAACGAAAGUUAGGGGAUCGAAGACGAUCAGAUACCGUCGUAGUCUUAACCAUAAACUAUGCCGACUAGGGAUCGGACAAUGUUAUUUUUCGACGCGUUCGGCACCUUACGAGAAAUCAAAGUGCUUGGGCUCCAGGGGGAGUAUGGUCGCAAGGCUGAAACUUAAAGAAAUUGACGGAAGGGCACCACCAGGGGUGGAGCCUGCGGCUUAAUUUGACUCAACACGGGGAAACUCACCAGGUCCAGACACAAUGAGGAUUGACAGAUUGAGAGCUCUUUCUUGAUUUCGUGGGUGGUGGUGCAUGGCCGUUCUUAGUUGGUGGAGUGAUUUGUCUGCUUAAUUGCGAUAACGAACGAGACCUUAACCUGCUAAAUAGACCGUAUUGCUUUGGCAGUACGCCGUCUUCUUAGAGGGACUAUCGGCUCAAGCCGAUGGAAGUUUGAGGCAAUAACAGGUCUGUGAUGCCCUUAGAUGCUCUGGGCCGCACGCGCGCUACACUGACGGAGCCAGCGAGUACUCCCUUGGCCGGAAGGCCCGGGUAAUCUUGUUAAACUCCGUCGUGCUGGGGAUAGGGCA